rnacentral:piRNA from 1 species
UUCCCAUGUGUGUCCGGCGGGAUAAAGAGU